rnacentral:rRNA from 1 species
GACGUAGGGCGCGAGCGUUGUCCGGAUUUAUUGGGCGUAAAGAGCUCGUAGGCGGCUUGUUGCGUCGACCGUGAAAACCCGGGGCUCAACUUCGGGCUUGCGGUCGAUACGGGCGGGCUAGAGUUCGGUAGGGGAGAGUGGAAUUCCUGGUGUAGCGGUGAAAUGCGCAGAUAUCAGGAGGAACACCGGUGGCGAAGGCGGGUCUCUGGGCCGAUACUGACGCUGAGGAGCGAAAGCGUGGGGAGCGAACAGG